rnacentral:rRNA from 1 species
AUUGAACGCUGGCGGCAGGCCUAACACAUGCAAGUCGAGCGGAGCGGCGGACGGGUGAGUAAUGCCUAGGAAUCUGCCUGGUAGUGGGGGAUAACGUCCGGAAACGGGCGCUAAUACCGCAUACUAUCAGAUGAGCCUAGGUCGGAUUAGCUAGUUGGUGGGGGAAAGGCCUACCAAGGCGACGAUCCGUAACUGGUCUGAGAGGAUGAUCAGUCACGUUGGGAGUGAGCCACGGUACGGACUCCUACGGGAGGAAGAGGUGGGGAAUAUUAGAGAAUGGGCGAAAGACUGAUCCAGACAGGGGGCGUGUGUGAAGAAGGUCUACGGAUUGUAAAGCACUUUAAGUUGGGAGGCGUUACCAACAGAAUAAGCACCGGCUAACUUCGUGCCGGCGGCCGGGUAA